UCCCAGUUUUUUACGGACCCAUCUGCGGGACAGGGUGCAUAAGCAAAAUUGUACGUGUGCAUGGAGGUAUAAGAGCAAAAUUUGGUUGUGCACUAAGUUCAAGGAACCCAUUUAUGUACCGUGCGUGUCUCUAAGGGGCAAGAUCUGUGGGACCAUUUAAUGGAACCAGGCAUAUUUAAAGUAUGGACUGUUAAACACAGGUCAUGGACCCAGGUCACCAUCAUGGGCACGUAAUGGGAAAGGGCUUUCAGCCUCCAUGGAAGUAAUUUUCUAUCUGGCAUGAACAGUUGAGUGUAAUGCAGCAGCUGAUGGCAGGCAGCAGUGGGUGGCUGCCACCUGUUGUGUUUACGAAAUCGCGCCAUGUGGCGGUGCCGGCAUGCUGCCCUGCCAGAACUACCCUGGCUGACAGCCUGAGUAGUGCGAAGCAGCUUGUGCUGUUUGCACGGCGACGGUCGGCGCGGACGACUGAGCAGACGACACGUUCUGGCGCCGCAUCACCAGACGAAGGCGUCUUAAACCAUUCGGCCUGCUCUUCAUUGUCUGGAGGCCCUCAGAUCGCGCCGGCGGCGGCGGCCGCUCGCGGGGCUCAAAAGCGCAAGCUGCCCGUACCAACUCCUGCGUCCGAAAGAAGAAACGUCUGAGCAGCAAGCGGCGGUGAACGAAGCAUCCGCUCAGUGGACCGUCUGUAUCCGAUGGCGUGCUUUGUGUGUGUCACGUAGACCUGUGAAACGCAACCAAGUGUCGUUCAAUCGUACCUGGGGAGGCGAAUGCAAGUUAUGAGCCCUUGGAUAGUAGCAUUCGCUUCUAUGCUCUAGAUGAGCGCGCCUCUUAAAGUAAAAUACGCGAUGUCAUUUGGUAAGCUGGCAAUCGCUCGGCUUCACAAACAUAUCUCAAGCGUAUCUUUCCAUUAUUGGUAGUGCUUGGCCAGUUUGGAAAUAUCGUGUGAAGAAUGGAGGCGUGCAACGUUGUUUUGUAAUUUCGGUACUGUGUGAUUGACGCCUCCUCGGAGAUGUGUUGGACAGUUCUGUGAUAACGUAGUUUAUGUCGCUGAACGAUAAAAUCAACUAACUUUGUGUUUGGAUGCACCUCAUAUUGAAUCCGCCCGCUGAUGUGUGACUUGGACGUUUGAAUGAUCGCAUCGGUUUUGGUUUCGUCCCGGGAGAAUAUACAUAUAUAAAUUAUG